CGGAGUCUCUGAGUCCCUCCGGGCUCCCUCCCACGCAGGUCAGCGUGGACUCUCACCCUGGAGAUGUCCCCCCUUAAGCUUCUCGCCCGGGAGCCCCUGGCAUGGGCGCCACUACAUCUGGGGUGACCUGCGCCCCAUCAGCAGAGCCCAGCACCUCCUCCUUCCAGCUGUGAGUACCAGAAACUGCCCAGUGUCCCUGGGGACAGACUCCCCCAGGUGAGGGUCACUGUGGCCCCACCUUUCACAAGUGGCCAUUCACCUUCCUCAAGGGGGGCCGAGUGGAGCCAGGCUGGGGGCUGACUGGACCCCGCAGGCGCCAUCAAGCCGGCUCCACAGCCUUAGAGUGGCCACUGAUAAGCAGGGAGCCCUGGGAGGCUGAGGAGGGCACAUGGGAGCUGCCCUCGGGGGUCAGAGAUCUCCUACAGCUGUGCCACCCUGGGAAAGGAGCUGUGCCUCUCUGAGCCUCCCAUUCUGCAUCUGGACAGCAGCACUCUGUCCAGUCGGUACACCGUGGGUCCCUGCCCAUGGCUAUACCCCCACCCUGGUCCUCUCCCUGCCACUGACCCCCAGAGCCCUCACCUGACCACUGGGUUCUGUCCACAGACCAGGAGGACCAAGAUGUCUUGAGAACCACCGGUCAGCUGCAGUGAGGAGCUGGCCACCGCUGCCCAGAGCGCCUGGAACCCGAGCUGAGGAGGGAGCGGGCGGAGCAGGGGGAGGCCAGCUGGGGACACCAGCUGUGGUCAAGCGCAGGACACCCUGACCCCAGGCCCCUGAGGCAGCUGUGAUCACCCAGCAGGACUCUCGCCAGGUGGAGCCCCCGGCCCGGAGCGGGUGCUGGGCUCGACGGGCAGCAGGGCCAGUGGCCUGCAGUCAGGGCUGGGACCAGGGUCCAGGCUGCCGGGCCGCAACGUGGGCUGCCCAGCAGACGCGGGUGGCAGCUGUACCAUUAAGGAAGCCUUGGCGACCGCUACAGGGCACGGUGGACUGCCGUCAUGCCCAGAGCCGGCCACUGCACACUGGGCGCUGGACAGGCGACACCACCUGCAGCCCCCGCCUCACCUGGCUGCUGAAGGGCAGCCCAGCCCUGGCAGAGCGGGCACCCGGUGGCUGGCCUCCACGUCAGCUCCAGCGCUGCGCAGCGGCCAAGACCCCUGGGCUGUCGUGUCCACCUGGCCCCGCCAUCCCCACCGUGGACAGCCACACAGGCCCAGGUCUGGGUCUCUAGAGGGAGAGAAGGACACAGGCCCCUGGGGACUCGGGUCACCUCCCCCAGGUCAGGGACACACUAGAGGAAGGACACGGGGGACAGGCAGCCACUGUGAUGCCUGGGGCCCCCAAUGACCCAGGAGGCUCUCCCACCCACAACUCCUGUCCCCUCCUCCUCCUGCUGUCCCCUCCUCCUCCUCCUGCUGUCCCCUCCUCCUCCUGCUGUCCCCUCCUCCUCCUCCUCCUCCCCCCCUAAUAAAUUUUAAAAGUGAUAAAAUUAGCUGCCACUCGGCGUCAUCUCAACACUGGAGUCCAACAAGCGGCCACGCCUGGGAUCCCAGCAGCUCAGGAGGCUGAGGCAGGAGGAUUGUGAGUUGGAGGACAGCCUCAGCAAUUACCAAGACCCUGUUUCAAAAUAAAGCAGGGCGAGGAUGUCAUCCUGGAAGAGAGAAGGUGGCAACCGGGGAAGGCCACGCUCCUGAGCCCAAGGGACGGAGGUGAGCGGGCGGGAGGCCUGGGCGGGCGUCACCCUGCAGGGCGCUGCUCUUCUCCUGGGGUGGGCACUGGGACAAGUCCUGUGAUCCUCUGUGAGGCUGCCCGAGUGCCGGAGUGGGCACUCCUGGAGCGCUGGCCACGCGGGGAGCAGUGUGAGCCAGGCGGGUUAAGGCCCUCGCGGCUCCUGGCCACCAGCCUCCAACACCCUUUCCUCCUGGUAACUGGAGGGAGUUGAGGGCACAGUGGGGUGGACACAUGUCACUUGUCCAGCCGGCCACCCCUGGACAAAGCACCCUGAGGGACACAGGCUCUUUCCUGGGGCAGUGACUUGAGGGACAAGGGUGGAAGCGUUCCACAAUAAGUCACUUGUCCCUCACGCUGGCCCCAGGCGCAUUGACCUUUCAGCCACAGACACGGGGCUGCUGAGGAUCCCUGAGGCUGACGCAGGACGUACCUCAGGGGUGAGACCUGAUCCGAAAACCCAGAGCAUCCCAAAAUCCAACACUGAGACAAAAGUGUCCAGUUCCAGACAUCUGAGCCUUGGGACCAGGGACACUCAGCUGGUAAGAUCUAUGCGGGGGUCCCCGAAUUCUGAAGUGAAAUCUGCAACAUUCCGGGACUUCUAGGCCACUCGACCCGUGUCAGAAAAAGAUAUGCUUGGGCAGGGCACCGUGGUGCGCGCCUGUCACCCCAGCGGCUCAGGAGGCUGAGGAGGGGGAUCUGAAGCCAACCUCAGCGACCAACCGGAGGGCCCCUGCCCCUGGGGA
rnacentral:lncRNA from 1 species